rfam:Triticum aestivum genome assembly, contig: Triticum_aestivum_CS42_TGACv1_scaffold_000550_1AL
UAUGUACUCCCUCCGUCCGGAAAUACUUGUCGGAGAAAUGGAUGUAGAUGUAUUUUAGUUCUAGAUACAUCCAUUUUUAUGCAUUUAUACGACAAGUAUUUCCGGACGGAGGGAGUAUGUG